AGCAUAUCAUAAGCGGAGGAAAAGAACCACAGGAAUGCCUAGUACCGCCGAUGACGCACCUCAAUAAUCUGGCUUCGGCCCGAGUGUAAUUUGCAGAGGAUGUUUCUGGCGCGGUGCCUUCCGAGUUCCUGGAACGGGACGCCACAGAGGGUGAGAGCCCGUAUGGUUGGACACCAAGCCUGUGUGAAACUCCUUCGACGAGUCGAGUAGUUUGGGAAUGCUGCUCUAAAUGGGAGGUAAAUCUCUUCUAAAGCUAAAUACCGGCCAGAGACCGAUAGCGCACAAGUAGAGUGAUCGAAAGAUGAAAAGCACCUUGAAAAGGGGGUUAAAUAGUACGUGAAAUUGUUGAAAGGGAAGCACUUAUGACCAGACUUGGGCCGGGCGGCUCAUCAGGGGUUCUCCCCUGUGCACUCCGCCCGGCACAGGCCAGCAUCGGUUCUCGUGGGGGGAUAAGACCGUCAGGAACGUAGCACCCUCCGGGGUGUGUUAUAGCCUGGCGGACGAUACCCCCGUGGGGACCGAGGUCCGCGCUCCGCAAGGAUGCUGGCGUAAUGGUCAUCAGUGACCCGUCUUGAAACACGGACCAAGGAGUCGUCCAUUAGAGCGAGCGUUUGGGUGUAAAACCCGCACGCGUAAUGAAAGUGAACGCAGGUGAGAGCUUCGGCGCAUCAUCGACCGAUCCUGAUGUUCUCGGAAGGAUUUGAGUAAGAGUUUUAACGGACGGACCCGAAAGACAGUGAACUAUGCUUGUAUAGGGUGAAGCCAGAGGAAACUCUGGUGGCUCGCAGCGGUCUCGUGCAAAUCGUCGUCAAUAUGAGCAUGGGGCGAAAGACUAAUCGACUGUUCUUAGUAGCUGGUUAACCGCCCGAAGG
rnacentral:rRNA from 1 species